GCGUGGAUAACCUGGUAUCUGUCAUUCAUAAAUCUACUUCAAGCAGAUUGAUGGGCAUGUUGUAGCUGUGAAGAGUAUACAAGACACUUAUCAAGCUCAAUGAAAAUUCUUUUAGACAAAGUCUUUGAUCAAAGCACCAAUAUUCAAAAAUUUAAGGGAAUCAUAAGUGAUCUCAUCACUAUAAAAGAUAAUUUAAUGGCUCUAGUUCAUUAACUCUGUCAAGAUCAGGACAAGAAGCAUGACGAGCUUAACGAGCAAGUCACUCUCUACAUCCUAGGUUGUAUCCAUGGUUGAGACCAUAAGACAUCUCACGGAGGAAGUAGGAGCUCGUCAAAAAGAUGCUAACAAAAAAUAGAAGAAGAGAAAACCACAGAAAGUUCAAUCAUCACAUCAUCUUCCUCCUUCCAGAACUCCUCAUGCUAUCCCUUUGCCUUUGAGAUCUUAAGCACCAGGAUCAUCGAGUGCUCCAGGAUCAUCGAGUGGAGUAAUUCAAACUGGCUCAAGGCUUCCAAGUAAUGACCCAAACGUUCUGAAUUGAAAUCUACAAGAGGUUUGAAUACAAGGGAAAGAGUAGUUCAAAUUUCCAAAUCUUGGGCCCAAAGACUCUAUGGAAGAAAUAAGGAGAAAAAAAAGAAAAAACGAAAAUGCUCUAAUAAUCGUAGAGUUGUUGAGGAAAUGAGAAAUUGUG
rnacentral:lncRNA from 1 species